UACGUAGGGCGCAAGCGUUGUCCGGAAUUAUUGGGCGUAAAGAGCUCGUAGGCGGUUUGUCGCGUCUGCUGUGAAAACCUAAGGCUCAACCUUGGGCUUGCAGUGGGUACGGGCAGACUAGAGUGCGGUAGGGGUGACUGGAAAUCCUGGUGUAGCGGUGGAAUGCGCAGAUAUCAGGAGGAACACCGAUGGCGAAGGCAGGUCACUGGGCCGCAACUGACGCUGAGGAGCGAAAGCAUGGGGAGCGAACAGG
rnacentral:rRNA from 1 species